GAUGAAGAACGCAGUGAAAUGCGAUAAGUAAUGUGAAUUGCAGAAUUCAGUGAAUCAUCGAAUCUUUGAACGCUCAUUGCGCCCCUUGGUAUUCCGGGGGGCAUGCCUCUUCCAGCGUCAUUUCACCCCUCAAGCUCUGCUUGGUAUUGGGCCGCGCCGGCAACGGCGGGCCUCGAAAAUAGUGGCGACGCCAUCGUGCUCUCAGCGUAGUAAUUCUUCUCGCUGUUGGGUCCCGGUGGUCGUCCGCCAGCAACCCCCAACUUUCUUAAGUUUGACCUGGGAUGAGGUAGGGAUACCCGCUGAACUUAAGCAUAUCAAUAAGCGGAGGA
rnacentral:misc_RNA from 1 species